ACGGGAGGCAGCAGUGGGGGAUAUUGCACAAUGGGGGGAACCCUGAUGCAGCGACGCCGCGUGAGUGAAGAAGUAUUUCGGUAUGUAAAGCUCUUUUAGCAGGGAAGAAAGUGACGGUACCUGCAGAAAAAGCCCCGGCUAACUACGUGCCAGCAGCCGCGGUAAUACGUAGGGGGCAAGCGUUAUCCGGAUUUACUGGGUGUAAAGGGAGCGUAGACGGUGAAGCAAGUCUGAAGUGAAAUGAUGGGGCUCAACCCCGUAACUGCUUUGGAAACUGUUUGACUGGAGUACCGGAGGGGCAGGCGGAAUUCCUGGUGUAGCGGUGAAAUGCGUAGAUAUCAGGAAGAACACCGGUGGCGAAGGCGGCCUGCUGGACGGUAACUGACGUUGAGGCUCGAAAGCGUGGGGAGCAAACAGGAUUAGAUACCCUGGUA
rnacentral:rRNA from 1 species